AGUUCGAUCCUGGCUCAGAUUGAACGCUGGCGGGAUGCUUUACGCAUACAGUCAGACAGCGGCACGGACUUCGGUCUGGUGGCGAGUGGCGAACGUUGAGUAAUGUAUCGGAACGUGCCUAGUAGCGGGGGAUAACUACGCAGCGUAGCUAAUACCACAUACGCCUUCGAGGAAAGCGGGGGGACCUUCGGGCCUCACUAUUAGAGCGGCCGAUAUCGGAUUAGCUAGUUGGUGGGAGUAACGGCUCACCAAGGCGACGAUCCGUAGCUGGUUUUGAGAGGACGACCAGCCACACUGGGACUGAGACACACAGCCCGAACUCCUACGGGAAACCGGCAGUGGGAAUUUUGGACAAUGGGGGAAACCCUGAUCCAGCCAUCCCGCGUGUGCGAUGAAGGCCUUCGGGUUGUAAAGCACUUUUUGGCAGGAAAGAAACGGCACGGGAUAAUACCCCGUGCAACUGACAGUACCUGCAGAAUAAGCACCGGCUAACCACGUGCCAGCAGCCGCGGUAAUACGUAAGUGCAAGCGUUAAUCAGGAUACUGGGCGUAAAGCGUGCAGGCGGUUCGGAGAAAGAUGUGAAAUCCCAGAGCUUAACUUUGGAGCUAUUUUUAACUACCGAGCUAGAGUGUCAGAGGGAGGUGGAAUUCCGCGUGUAGCAGUGAAAUGCGUAGAUAUGCGGAGGAACACCGAUGGCGAGAGGCAGCCUCCUGGGAUAACACUGACGCUCAUGCACGAAAGCGUGGGAGCAACAAGUUAAAUCACCCUGGUAGUCCACGCCCUAAACGAUGUCAACUAGCUGUUGGGGCCUUCGGGCCUUGGUAGCGCAGCUAACGCGUGAAGUUGACCGCCUGGGAGUCACGGUCGCAAGAUUAAAACUCAAAGGAAUUGACGGGGACCCGCACAAGCGGUGGAUGAUGUGGAUUAAUUCGAUGCAACGCGAAAAAGCCUUACCUACCCUUGACAUGUCUGGAAUGCCGAAGAGAUUUGGCAGUGCUCUGGAACCAGAACACAGGUGCUGCAUGGCUGUCGUCAGCUCGUGUCGUGAGAUGUUGGGUUAAGUCACCGCAACCCAUACAAUCAUUAGUUGCUACGAAAGGGCAUAUCAUGAGAUUGCCGACAAAGCCGGAGGAAGGUGGGGAUGACGUCAAGUCCUCAUGGCCCUUAUGGGUAGGGCUUCACACGUCAUACAAUGGUCGGGACAGAGGGUCGCCAACCCACGAAGAAGGGGAGCCAAUCCCAGAAACCCGAUCGUAGUCCGGAUCGCAGUCUACAACUCGACUGCGUGAAGUCGAAUCGCUAGUAAUCGCGGAUCAGCAUGUCGCGGUGAAUACGUUCCCGGGUCUUGUACACACCGCCCGUCACCCUGCUGGGUGGGUUUUACCAGAAGUAGUUAGCCUAACCGCAAGGGCGAUUAC
rnacentral:rRNA from 1 species